CUACGGACUAUCAGUCAGCUAUACAAGGAGGUCUAUAUCCGCAAGGGAAGAUUCUGGACAACAUGGGAAGCGACUGCCUGUAUGUGUAUUCGCAUCGCAACAGUCUUGGUCAAGGAUCAUACGGACACGUCUACAGAGCCAGAAUCGUACAUCGCGGGAAUUAUACCGGUGAAGAGGAAGCGGCAGUCAAAGUCAUUGACGAAACAAAAGUGAAAAAUUUGAAAGUCAACAGCGAACGGUCCAGGGACAGAUGGGUGACACUGCUUAGCCUACAAUGUCCACAUCUGGUAGCGUUUCACAGAGUCAGUUUUUUCUCAACUAAUACUGGCUUUUCUGUGGAAAUCCUUAUGGAUCUUUGCGAAGGCGGCGACUUGGAGAGGCUGUUGUUCGGAGUAAAGGCCGAUCAUGCGCUUCUAGAUCAAGGGAGCGCAUUAUGUUAUGCACUGCAAAUCGUGACUGGUGUGGAAUUCUUACACGCGCGACACCUCAGGCACGGUGACUUGAAACCCGGCAACAUCUUCCUGAAACAUCAUGCUG